GUCGUUGUAGUAUACUGGUGAGUAUUUCCGCCUGUCACGCGGACGACCCGGGUUCGAUCCCCGGCAACGGCG
rfam:Selaginella moellendorffii unplaced genomic scaffold SELMOscaffold_163, whole genome shotgun sequence.